rnacentral:rRNA from 1 species
GAUGAACGCUGGCGGCGUGCCUAAUACAUGCAAGUCGAGCGAACAGACGAGGAGCUUGCUCCUCUGACGUUAGCGGCGGACGGGUGAGUAACACGUGGAUAACCUACCUAUAAGACUGGGAUAACUUCGGGAAACCGGAGCUAAUACCGGAUAAUAUAUUGAACCGCAUGGUUCAAUAGUGAAAGACGGUUUUGCUGUCACUUAUAGAUGGAUCCGCGCCGCAUUAGCUAGUUGGUAAGGUAACGGCUUACCAAGGCAACGAUGCGUAGCCGACCUGAGAGGGUGAUCGGCCACACUGGAACUGGGACACGGUCCAGACUCCUGCGGGAGGCAGCAGUAGGGAAUCUUCCGCAGUGGGCGAAAGCCUGACGGAGCAGCGCCGCGUGAGUGAUGAAGGUCUUCGGAUCGUAAAACUCUGUUAUUAGGGAAGAACAAAUGUGUAAGUAACUAUGCACGUCUUGACGGUACCUAAUCAGAAAGCCACGGCUAACUACGUG